rnacentral:rRNA from 1 species
CAGGGAUUGCCCCAGUAACGGCGAGUGAAGCGGCAACAGCUCAAAUUUGAAAUCUGGCUCUCGGGCCCGAGUUGUAAUUUGUAGAGGAUGCUUUUGGUGAGGUGCCUUCCGAGUUUCCUGGAACGGGACGCCAUAGAGGGUGAGAGCCCCGUCUGGUUGGACACCGAUCCUCUGUAAAGCUCCUUCGACGAGUCGAGUAGUUUGGGAAUGCUGCUCUAAAUGGGAGGUAUAUGUCUUCUAAAGCUAAAUACCGGCCAGAGACCGAUAGCGCACAAGUAGAGUGAUCGAAAGAUGAAAAGAACUUUGAAAAGAGAGUUAAACAGUACGUGAAAUUGUUGAAAGGGAAGCGCUUGUGACCAGACUUGGGCUUGGUUGAUCAUCCGGGGUUCUCCCCGGUGCACUCUUCCGGCUCAGGCCAGCAUCAGUUCGCCCUGGGGGAUAAAGGCUUCGGGAAUGUGGCUCUCUCCGGGGAGUGUUAUAGCCCGCUGCGUAAUACCCUGUGGCGGACUGAGGUUCGCGCAUUCGCAAGGAUGCUGGCGUAAUGGUCAUCAGUGACCCGUCUUGAAACACGGACCAAGGAGUCGUCUUCGUAUGCGAGUGUUCGGGUGUCAAACCCCUACGCGAAAUGAAAGUGAACGCAGGUGAGAGCUUCGGCGCAUCAUCGACCGAUCCUGAUGUUAUCGGAUGGAUUUGAGUAAGAGCAUACGGGGCCGGACCCGAAAGAAGGUGAACUAUGCCUGUGUAGGGUGAAGCCAGAGGAAACUCUGGUGGAGGCUCGCAGCGGUUCUGACGUGCAAAUCGAUCGUCAAACAUGGGCAUGGGGGCGAAAGACUAAUCGA